rnacentral:lncRNA from 1 species
GGAAUUAAAGGAAAAAGGAUCAACAUUGUUAAGUUUAUCGAGGAACAAAACUUCACAAUAUAUCCAAAGAUUACUAAAUAUCUACAUUUAGAGAAUUGAGCGUUUGCAAGUAGGUACGCUCUUUAUCUUCCAUGAAAUAAUAUUGAACAUAAGGUGAUGCAUCUACUCUGCAGAUCGAUGCAUCAACUCUGAAGAUUGAUUAGCUUACCCGCUUAUGCUCUUGCAUGAGCUUUCUUUUUUUAACUCCUUUGACGAACAUAUCACAGGACCUGUCAAUUUCAUGAUGAAACCAAGCAAGAUAGUUUUACUGAUAAUUAAAAUGACUUUACUGCAAAUAGAUAAGUGUAACAUGUUGUAGAAUAAAUUACUACCAAGUUGGUAUUUGUUGAAAAUUAUUAAAAGAAAAUACAAUGUUAAGUCAAAAACAGAGAAAAAGCUGCACAAAGUAACCCGGGUGAGUAAACUACCCAGUUUGUUAAAGAUAAGAGAAAUACUACAAGAACCAAAGAGUUAAAAAUACACGAUUAUAUCAAUAAGACUAUAUGCAAAAAGAAAAAUUUCAAGCAUUGCUCAUGUCCUACAAUUCUGAGUUCUCAAAAUUUUUAAGUUGUCAUUUCUAUCGGCUUUUUAGGUAGCAUCUUCGUGACUAUUCUGACAAUGGAAUUUUCUGUAACAAGCUAGCAGAAUGAAUAUUGACGAACUAUAAUAUAUGGUGUUAAUUUAGCAAGUCAUAAGUACUACUAAAUCACAAAAGAGAAUUUUUAAAAGAGGACAUCCUGUUGUACAUUGUUAGAUCUUUAUAAUCGAUGGUGCAUCUGAUUAUUGUUGGGGGACUGAAAGACCAUAUAUGUGAUGUAAAAAUAUCUAAAACAUGUCUUUUCAACAGGAUGCCACCCAAAAGCUAAGUCCCAUUUUACUUUUACAGAAGUAAGAUUGGCUACAAGAUCCUUGCAUUCGAACGACGCUCACUUUGCAAGAUAAGAUAAGAGCUAUCAAACCUAUGCUAGCUUUGCCCGAAAAAGGAUAGUUUUAGGUACUCAUUUGAACCAACUCAUAUCAGAUGAAAUUUCUAUUUUAUGCCUAUGGCCAUGAAAGGCAGAAAUUCAAAUAUUUAAUUCACACUCUCACAGAUAAUAAGAAUAACAAAUAAACUCACCUUUAUUUGUAUGAUUAACACAUGCAAAACAAACCAUAAUAGAACUGCAUGUUUUUCCUUGCGGCUGAUGGAAAAGAGCGACUUUGGUUCCACAUUCGUUACAUACAUGUUCAACAACUUCAUAAGCUUUGUAAUGCUACAAUGUAGCAGAAAAACCUUGAUGCCGCUCAUUUUAUUUUUAUCUUUCAAUGAUGUGCUCCCCAUUCUUCUUCAUAUUCCUCUCCUGCAAUCAACAUCUAUGAUAUGCACAAGUUGCACCAAGCAGUGUAGGUUAUAAUUGUGAUCCAAACACUUCUAUCCAUGCCAAUUUUCUAUAGAAUCUCUUAUGCAGGUCUGCAUUAUACUUUCAAGUCAGGUGACUCUUCGUACCUUGUAUCAACUAACAAGUUCCAAAAACCUUACUACUUUCCUAUUUGUUGAGGUUGUCAAUAUAAUUAUUGUGCCAAAUAACAUCGACAUAGGUUCUGUGAUAGCAGUUGCAGUCAUGGGAUUUCAAUAUUUUCCAAGCCUCUUAAUAGGACUCAACCCCAAAACCAAGGCAGACAUCUUUUCUUAUAUUGCUCUAAGAUUACAACCAACCCCACAAUCCAUAAGGGAGUCUAAUGGCAUAUCCUAAGAUAUUUUAUACCAUUUUCAUUCCUCUUUCUAGGCUUUCUAACCUUACUCAGCCAACAAUUUCAUAUACACAUGCUAGCAAAUGAAAGGUAUUAUAACUUUGAAUAUCUAUAAGUCAUAGCUAAUUUUUCUUGUUAACAGAAAAUUAGACAAACAAUAGCAACAAUGCAAUAGAAAACACAUGUUAGCAACUGGAGUACAUCUCUAACAUACUCAUUUCUUAUACAAAAGACAAAUACAACAUAUAUAUUAUUUAACAAUGAUGUCAAGUAGAAGUAGAUAAUGUACUUGUUGGACUCCUAAAAGAUAGAUGACAUGUUGUAAAACACCUGCAGAAAAUUAAAGAAAUAACAAUUAUUCAGUCAUUUCAAGCAUUCAUCAAACAUGGUGCACAUGAUGUACAGUACUGUAAUAGUGAGAAUCAUUCAUAUGAAUGAUAUGUUACCAAAGUAGUCACAAGAAAGAACAUAAAAAGGGAAAUCUCACUAUUCCAGAUCCAUCUUCUUAAGAACAAAAUAGAAAUUAAAAAUUAAACAAGAAAAAUAUUUACAUGAUUUCAAUCUGAAAUGGCUGAUCAUACUCAAGUAUUCCCUCUCACACUCAGAUUUGACAAACAAGAUCAAGUACCAUGUGGUAGUUGUUUCUAUAGCUAUUUAUAAAACUUAUUUUUUUAAUGGAACCCAAGCACAGUAAUUUCUUGAAAUAUAGGUUCUUCUCCCAAUUGCUCUACCUUUUGAUUGCAAUACCAAGAAAUGGAAACAUUGCAACUGAAUAAUUAGUUAAAAAAGGAUCACUUGAAUAAUUGACAAAGUGAAAAGAACGGAACAUGAAAUUUGGUGUGUAAUCAGUUGGAUUUUCAUAAUUGAAGAGGAAGGAAAACGUAUUAAGUUUAGUUACCCAAAAAAAUAUAUUUGUAUCCAGAAAAUAUUCAAAAUCAUGAACCUAGACUUAAUUUCGUAGCAUGCAUGGAUAAAUUAGAGACAAUUACUGCCAUUAUCCAAUAGAGUAGAAAAACUAAUAUAUACCUACCAAAGUCUUAUUAUCAAGAACUUGGCGCAUUAAACAAAAAAAAAAAGGAUAAGCAGCAAGGAAACUAUAGAUAUUGUCUAAAUAGCAAGAAAAUUAUUUAACAUGUAUCAGUUUCAGUAAAUAGUUAGCAACUUUAGCAAAUACUAGAAUAUUCCUCUGUCUUCUCACGAAGGAGCGCAAGAUCGUCCAGUAUUCAGUAAGAAGACUCUUCAACCUACAAAGCGAUACAAAAAACAAAUAUGAAGAAAACACAGAGAGACACAAAUGAAGGGAAAAUUGAAGAAAGAGGACAAAAAUUAGACCCAACAAAAG